rnacentral:rRNA from 1 species
CGCCUGGUUGAUUAAAAACAUUGCUGCAUGGAAGAAUGUGCGGUAAGUACUGCCCGGUGCAUAAGUGUAAACGGUGGCGUAAGGUUUUAAAGUAGCGAAAUACCUAGCCCUUUAAUUGGGGGCGUGCAUGAAGUAUUAACGAGGGAGCGACUGUCUCUUUUGCAUAAAUCUUAAAUAGAACUCUAAGUGAAGUUGCUUAGAUAAGGCCAAAAGACGAUAAGACCCCGUGCAGCUUUACUUAACUGAUAAAUGAUUUUUAGGAUGGUUUAGCUGGGGAAGCUGGAAAAGUUGAGCUUUUUUCUUUUUUUGUUAGGGGCACCUUGAGAGCUGGUUUAGACCAAGUAGGGGAAUAGUUACGCCGGGGGUAACAGGACGCUUUUGAAAUGGAGUUCAUAUUGAUUUCAAAGUGUGUUACAUCGAUGUUGAAUCAAGGCGCUUCUGGGUGUAGAGG